rnacentral:tRNA from 1 species
GGCUGGUUAGCUCAGUUGGUUAGAGCGUGGUGCUAAUAACGCCAAGGUCGCAGGUUCGAUCCCCGUACAGGCCA